rnacentral:lncRNA from 1 species
AAAGAUUAACAAUUAAUGAUUUCAAUCAUGUCAUAAUAAGAUUUAAAGUUAUUGACUUUGCUCAGCUAAUUUAUGAGAGAGAUAUCUAGAAUUACUUAUUCAUUAUAUAUUCUUCAAGCCAAACUAGAUUUCUUAUGUGUGAACUUUUGGCUGAAGAAGAUCCUCUCUCUUGUUUGCAUGUGAAUGUUUAUUGUAUCUUAUGUGGAGGUGUCCUUCAAGCUGAAUUCACUCAUUUUCUUGCUGAAGGAUUCUGCAUUAUUAACAAACUCCUUUUCUUUCUUGAAAGAAAGUCUUUAGUUUCUUUAAGAUACAAACCAUUCAUCCAACAUAUUUCUAACUAGAUGACUCAAUUUAAGAUAAGAUAAUAGUUG